rnacentral:rRNA from 1 species
UACGAAGGGGGCUAGCGUUGCUCGGAAUCACUGGGCGUAAAGCGCACGUAGGCGGAUUGCUAAGUCAGGGGUGAAAUCCUGGAGCUCAACUCCAGAACUGCCUUUGAUACUGGCGAUCUCGAGUCCGGGAGAGGUGAGUGGAACUGCGAGUGUAGAGGUGAAAUUCGUAGAUAUUCGCAAGAACACCAGUGGCGAAGGCGGCUCACUGGCCCGGUACUGACGCUGAGGGUGCGAAAGCGUGGGGAGCAAACAGGAU